UACAGAGGUCUCAAGCGUUGUUCGGAUUCAUUGGGCGUAAAGGGUGCGUAGGCGGCGCGGUAAGUCGGGUGUGAAAUCUCGGAGCUUAACUCCGAAACUGCAUUCGAUACUGCCGUGCUUGAGGACUGGAGAGGAGACUGGAAUUUACGGUGUAGCGGUGAAAUGCGUAGAUAUCGGAAGGAAGACCAGUGGCGAAGGCGGGUCUCUGGACCAUUCCUGACGCUGAGGCACGAAGGUCAGGGGAGCAAACGGG
rnacentral:rRNA from 1 species